rnacentral:misc_RNA from 1 species
AAAGUAUUACAUACUUACACUCUCGUGAACUUGUUUUAUAACCAAAAAAUAUGUAGUGUGUCAUGGCAGUGAGGAAACUUGCUCUCAUGCGCAACACGUAUUUUUUUUUAUUACACUAUUUACCCUUUGUAUUAACUUGAAUCUAUUUGGCUAUGCGGGAAACUGCAUAACUAAAAAAUAUAAGAAAUUUUCGUG